rnacentral:rRNA from 1 species
UACGGGGGGGGCAAGCGUUGUUCGGAAUUACUGGGCGUAAAGCGUGCGCAGGCGGUUAUGCAAGACAGAUGUGAAAUCCCCGGGCUCAACCUGGGAACUGCAUUUGUGACUGCAUAGCUAGAGUGCGGCAGAGGGAGAUGGAAUUCCGCGUGUAGCAGUGAAAUGCGUAGAUAUGCGGAGGAACACCGAUGGCGAAGGCAAUCUCCUGGGCCUGCACUGACGCUCAUGCACGAAAGCGUGGGGAGCAAACCGG